rnacentral:rRNA from 1 species
UACGGGGGGGGCAAGCGUUGUUCGGAAUUACUGGGCGUAAAGGGUGCGUAGGCGGGUCUUUAAGUCAGGGGUGAAAUCCUGGAGCUCAACUCCAGAACUGCCUUUGAUACUGAAGAUCUUGAGUUCGGGAGAGGUGAGUGGAACUGCGAGUGUAGAGGUGAAAUUCGUAGAUAUCGGGAGGAACACCAGUGGCGAAGGCGGCGAUCUGGGAAGAUACUGACGCUGAGGUGCGAAAGCGUGGGGAGCAAACAGG